ensembl:lncRNA
AUAGGUAUUUUGAUGGUGCAAGUUGUAACAGGCCGUAGAGAAACUAGUUGGUGGGGCAGUACAAGUGGCUUCUCCUUCAGCAAGUAAGAGCACCUACCAUGUACCACACUAUGAAAUAGGCACUGGGGUUACAGAGAAAGUGGGAACAGUUUUGGCCUCAUGGAACUAACAGAGGAAGCGGUCAUGCGAGCAGAUCCCAGAAUGGACCUCUAUAAUGAGGAUGAUGCAACCGGGGCGUUUAUAGGAAAGCUGUGCUCACUGAAAACCGUAACACUUGAUCAGAUGAUAACGAAGUCAAAUGCUCCAAAAUAGGAACUGGACGAAGGGUGAUGUUUCAGGCAGAGGAAAGUACUUUUGGGAAAAUAGCAAGCAGUUUGGCAGGGCUGCAGCCAAGAGAGAAUGGAAGUGGGACAAGAAGUGACGCUGAAGCCGCCUCAGAGCUCAGACCCAGGAAGGCCCCGAGGUGCCUGCUGCGGAGUGCAGGUGAGAUCGUGGAGAUGCAGGUAUGUUCUUUGUGUGUGGAGACUUAUGGAGAACAGCAAAGAAGUGCACUUUGAAUAUAUUCAGAGAGUUAGAAUCAGUUUCACAGAAUAGAAAAGUAUGAAGAAAACUUGUGGCACCAAGGCAACUCAGAAGGACCCCAGUGUUUGGCACAUGGAUCCAUUCAAACAUGAGGACUCACCUGGGUACAAGCAUGUAUCAAAGAUAUAAGCAAUGAACAUCCUACCUCGAAGAAAGUAUCACUUGGUGACAGGAUAUAAGGGACCCCAACUUAUUAGAUUUUGAGAAGAGCAGUCGGGGCCACCGCCUGCAGUGCCAGCAUCCCACAUGGGCACCAGUUCGCAUCCCUGCUGUUCCUCUUCUGAUCUGGCUCUCUGCUAUGGCCUGGGAAAACAGAGAUGGCCCAAGUCCUUGGGCCCCUGCAGCCAUGUUUGAGAUCUGGAAGAAGCUCCUGGCUUUGGAUCAGCACUGCUCCAGCCAUUGCAACCAUCUGGGGAGUGAGCCAGCCGACAGAAGACUUCUUCCUCUCUGCCUCUGUAACUGCCUUUCAAAUCUUUAAAAAAAUAUAUAUAGCAAGACUGAUUUCCCACUGGGACAAAAAUUGAUAGUUUUAUGCACGUGUCCUUAGGAGCAUCCUGGUGGACUGUCCUUUUGUAUUGUCCCAGGAAUGCCUUGCUUUAUGAGUCAUCUCCAUAGACUCCUGGCUCAGACCUCGCUGACCAUCACCUGAAUUUUGUCCAUCAUGCUCACUUUGUUCCAGGAGUUCUUAGCCUCUGAUCUUGUGGGAUCCCAUUAUUCCUCUGCUACCAUGGAGCUCAAUCCAUAGCAGCUUCUCCUAUUGCUGGGUACAGUUCACAGAGGACAGCUUUUUGUCAUUGCUGGCGUUCUCUCACCAACACAUUCACCAUGAUAGAAACAGUGCCCUUCCGGCCCUGCUAGGAAAUCCCAGCAGCUCUUAUGGAGUACAGUCCCAGGUCUUAUGCAGUGGGUAUACUUUACUAUGAUCCCUUCCUCAAUAGCCUCUAGGCAGUUCUGACACCUUAAUGUGGACUCCCCACUUUGUACCAAGAUUCCAGAAGGCAUCCCAGCACUGCUGCUUGGGGGUUCUUUCCAGGUAAUCAUAUCCUGUGUUGAGGGAAAAUGCCCUCCUUGUGUCAAACUCCUCCAUUUUCAGUUUUAUAUUCCUCUUCCAGCUCUCAGCUGGGAUCCUAGGGAUAUACUCCUGGCAAACAUAGGUAGGAGCCAGGUUCUGCAGCUCCUUUGGAAUCCCUGAUCUGCCCUUAGAAGACCUAGCACUUCCUUAAGGUUUUGCUGAUGUGUGACCCUAGCUAUGCAUCUAGUACACAGAAAAUUCAGUGGGGGCAGAGCCCAAGGAGAUCAAGUGUCUUAUUUGAGGCUUCUGCAUAGUCUUCAAUAAAGGGAGAGGAUUCUAUCUUCCUUUCUAUAAA